GUUCUCGCUUUGGCAGCACAUAUACAAAAAUUGGAACUAUACAGAAGAUUAGGAUGGCUCCUGUGAAAGGAUGACACACAAAUUCACGAAGCAUUCCAUAAUUAU